GCCGAACCGUGCGAACGUUGUUCGGAUUCACUGGGCUUAAAGGGCGCGUAGGCGGGCGACCAAGUCCGGGGUGAAAUCUUUCGGCUCAACCGGAAGAGUGCCUUGGAUACUGGUUGCCUCGAGGGAGGUAGGGGCAUGCGGAACUUCCGGUGGAGCGGUGAAAUGCGUAGAUAUCGGAAGGAACGCCGGUGGCGAAAGCGGCGUGCUGGACCUCUUCUGACGCUGAGGCGCGAAAGCCAGGGGAGCGAACAGG
rnacentral:rRNA from 1 species